rnacentral:lncRNA from 10 species
GCCAAUGUUGUUUGGAGGUCGUUUAUCACUUCACAGCUCUCAUUCACAGUCAAGUCAUGUGGAACUACACAACUUCCUUUUUGUGCAUUGGAGCUGGAAAUCUCGUUGAGUUUGGGAGGCCUUACUUCUGCAUAUUUGAAUCUGGUGACCAAAUUAAACAUUGUUCUAACUGCAGUUACCAUCCUCAAAUACAAAAGUAAUUGAUACUCAGCAAUGAAAGCUGCAUGUGCAUGUAGGGGAGAGAAGGAGGUUUCACCAGACUGACAAAUGGAGUCAUGGUUCUGGGAAGGAGCAGGGUGUUGGGUGCACAUUUGUCACCUGGGAAUACUACCAGCAAGCCUCAUAUUUUUUCUGCAAUAAAUGCUGGAAAGGAAAAAGAAAUGCUGAAAAUGAUGAAGUAAUUCCAAUUCUGCUGAUAGAGACCUGGAAAUGCACUAGGGAAAAAUGACAAGAGUGUAACACACUGCUGCUGAUUAUGUCAUAAUGAUUAUUUUAUGCAGUUUGAAGAAGACUCACUGUUCUAAAGAACCAGCAUCCAUUUCCAGGAAAGAGCAGGGAUUCUCCAUCCAUACCUCCAUGGGAUGAACCACAUUGAAAAUAAUGAUUUCCUUCUAAUAGCUUACUCUACAUUAUAUAAAGAAUUCCUUGGGAUUCUAAAAAAACCCUAAUAAUAUAGUAAUAAUAACAACAGAGGUUUGUUUUUGCUAUUUGUAGUCUAAUAUUCAGAUUGUGAGCAGCUGUUUUGGAAGGCAAGAUGAGUGAAUAGAUGUGAAGUCGUCUUAGAAAUGUCCAGGCUUCCAAAAGAAAUUUCACUUUUAAAAGAAAAUAGCCUAAUGUGAACCACAUUAGAAUCAGCACAUCUAAUCCUACGGAGAAAAAGUGACCAUGGCUGUCUACACAUAUAGGCAGGUCAUUCAAGCUCAUUCAAAAAUUCCACUUUCACUGGUGGUCUGUCUGUGUCCACAUGGUGACAAAUGGCCCCGGCAGGGUUUUUGAGGUGUUGGCACCACCAGUGAGUGCCAGAUGGAAUGUGGUGAAAGUUCUGAUUUGUACCUUUCAGACUAAAGGUACUUUCCAGAAUGGACGGGUCCUUCUGGCUGCCUUUUGUAAGUGCAGCCACAGGUAUUCUGUUGAAGCCUGUGGGUGAGAAAGACAUAAACAGGUGCUAUAAAUUUGUCAGACCAGGAAGCCACAGGCCGUUUAGUAAAUGGUAAACCCAAUGGCCCAAAAGAACAAAGGGGUCUCUUUUCAUCAGAAUGAUCAGGCUCAUUCAACAAAUAUUUAUUGAGCACCCACUUUCUGCCAGAUGGAAGAGCCACUGACAAGGCCUCUUAUUUAAAGAGUGCCUGAAGUGAGGAAGCAAACCCCCAAAUCAUCUGGGAUGGUAUGAACUGAACUCUGGACCGCAACAUGAUGGAAAGGAGGAGCUGGGGUCCCAAGGGCAGUCCAGACAACCUGAACCUGUGACACUCACCCUGCCCACACACUCUCAGAGCUGCAGCUUUCACGGGGGUGACAUGAAUGCUUGUAAAUGAGCUUGCUGAAUGGGAGACCAAGAACGAUGAUAUUGAGCUGUUACUACAUGCCAGACAUUUAACCCUUUCAUCCAGGUUAUCUCAAUCAUUCCUUACAGAAAGGCUUUUGAGAUGUCCUUGCAACUGGAGGUGCCAUAUGAUACAGUUCUGCCCAAAGACAAGAAAGUGAAUGUCUGUUGAGGGCUUCCUAUAAGGCCAAUACAUACAGGUGUUCCCAACAACAGUGACGGAAGAAGACUAUUAGGAUGCUCGCAACCUCAAUGUGAAUCAAAAGUAACUGCUUUGCCCACGAGACAGUGCAGCAUGGAAGAGGUAAUCUGGAUGCUGGACUUUUGGUGCUUCCUCUACUACCCAGCCAAGGUGAACUUGGGCAAGCCCUUGACCUUCGCAAGGCUAAUUUCUCACUUGUAAGAAGGAGCUAAUAAUUUCUGUCUUCUCAGGCAGGAUGACAUAAAUUAAUAGGUGUAAAGUGGUUGGUACCAGGCUUGGAAUGGGAAAAUUUUGGUAAGUGUCAUUCAUCUUCAUUGUCAUAACAGAAGUCCCCUGAACUCCUUGACACCUAUCAAGAAGGGACAGAUGCUGUGUUUACACCCACAAGCAGCUUUGUGUUUACCAAUUCAAACUUGGACUUCAGAGAAAACAGAGAGCACUCUACUAUGAUAACACAGAACUAGUACCAUAAUUUUUUUUGGUUAAGAAAGGUGUUUUGAACUAGAUUACUGACUGGCCAUCUGUGGCAGGCCCACUCCUGGAUGUCAUGCCCCUGUUAAUGAAAUCUGGGCGUGCGCUCGUAAACAGACCUGGUGAAUGGUAGACGUCAGCCAUUGCGUGAUGGACAAUCAUCAAUCAUCCAUUGUCAGUUAUUUCUGUCCCAGUGAGUAAGCCUUUAUUUAAAGCAUUAAGUAAGAAUGUUGCCAGACCACAGGAACAAGCCCUGAGCUGUUUGCAGGUGCUGCUAUUCACAGCUGCCAAUUAAACCCCUGACAUUUCCAUAUUGGCCAUGAGGCACAGCAUAUGCUUUUGACAUACCAAUUCUUUAAAAAAAAAAAAAUCACCAAUCUCAGAUUAUCAAUACAUGCCUUUUUCUUUUUCCAUGGUUACUACAUGAA